rnacentral:rRNA from 1 species
AUACGUAGGUGGCAAGCGUUGUCCGGAUUUACUGGGCGUAAAGGGAGCGUAGGUGGAUAUUUAAGUGGGAUGUGAAAUACCUGAGCUUAACUUGGGUGCUGCAUUCCAAACUGGAUAUCUAGAGUGCAGGAGAGGAAAGUGGAAUUCCUAGUGUAGCGGUGAAAUGCGUAGAGAUUAGGAAGAACACCAGUGGCGAAGGCGACUUUCUGGACUGUAACUGACACUGAGGCUCGAAAGCGUGGGGAGCAAACAGGAUUAGAUACCCUGGUAGUCCACGCCGUAAACGAUGGAUACUAGGUGUGGGGGUUUCAACACCUCCGUGCCGCCGUUAACACAAUAAGUAUCCCGCCUGGGGAGUACGGUCGCAAGAUUAAA